rnacentral:rRNA from 1 species
UACGUAGGUGGCAAGCGUUGUCCGGAUUUAUUGGGUUUAAAGGGUGCGUAGGCGGCUUUGUAAGUCAGUGGUGAAAUAUGGCAGCUCAACUGUCAGGGUGCCAUUGAUACUGCGGAGCUUGAGUACAGAUGAGGUAGGCGGAAUUGACGGUGUAGCGGUGAAAUGCUUAGAUAUCGUCAAGAACACCGAUAGCGAAGGCAGCUUACUGGGCUGUAACUGACGCUGAGGCACGAAAGCGUGGGGAGCGAACAGG